UAGAACGGGGUGUAAUGGGUAGCACGGAGAAUUUUGG
rnacentral:tRNA from 1 species